rnacentral:rRNA from 1 species
GAUGAACGCUGGCGGCGUGCCUAAUACAUGCAAGUCGAGCGAACAGAUGAGGAGCUUGCUCCUCUGACGUUAGCGGCGGACGGGUGAGUAACACGUGGAUAACCUACCUAUAAGACUGGGAUAACUGCGGGAAACCGGAGCUAAUACCGGAUAAUAUAUUGAACCGCAUGGUUCAAUAGUGAAAGACGGUUUUGCUGUCACUUAUAGAUGGAUCCGCGCCGCAUUAGCUAUUUGGUAAGGUAACGGCUUACCAAGGCAACGAUGCGUAGCCGACCUGAGAGGGUGAUCGGCCACACUGGAACUGAGACACGGUCCAGACUCCUACGGGAGGCAGCAGUAGGGAAUCUUCCGCAAUGGGCGAAAGCCUGACGGAGCAACGCCGCGUGAGUGAUGAAGGUCUUCGGAUCGUAAAACUCUGUUAUUAGGGAAGAACAAAUGUGUAAGUAACUAUGCACGUCUUGACGGUACCUAAUCAGAAAGCCACGGCUAACUACGUG